rnacentral:rRNA from 1 species
AUUUUUAACGGCCGCGGUAACCUGACCGUGCUAAGGUAGCGUAAUCAAUUGCCCUUUAAUUGUGGGCUAGUAUGAAUGGCUAGACAAGAGUUUAACUGUCUCAGAAAGACUUUAUGGAAAUUAACCCUUAGGUGCAAAGGCCUAAAUAUUAGUGAAAGACAAGAAGACCCUAUCGAGCUUUAGCUUAAGUUAUUCUUUUACAAUUUCUUAAACUUUUAUUGGGGCAAUAAAGGAGCAAUUAAAGCCUCCUUGACCAAAACAGAUAAACUAAUUUACAAAGAAACACUUAAAGUGCUCUUCGGUACUAGCUACCGUAGGGAUAACAGACUUAUUUCCCUUGAGAGUUCACAUUGACAGGGAAGUUUGGCACCUCGAUGUUGGCUUAGAAAAACAGUUAGAAGCAACACUCUAACCCUGUAGGUUUGUUCACCCUUUAAUAUUCUAGUCUUCUAGAUUUUAUAUAUUAGAAGUCCAGCCUGCCCUGUGAA